GGCCUUCCUUGUAGUUGGUUUGCAAGGAGGAUUUGCAGGAGAAGUCACUUUGGUUUUGGUGUUCCUCGCAGUUAGUUUGCAAGCAGGUUUUGUAGGAGGGGUUACUUUAGUUUUGGUGCUCCUUAUAGUUGGUUUGCGAGCAGGUUUUGCAGGAGGGAGCAUUUUGGUUUUGGUCGUUGAUCAAGGUAAUGGUUCAUGACUUGCUUGAGGCACCAUGAUUGGGGAUCUGCACAUGGAAUGCAAAUAGAAAUAGGAAAAAUAGAA
rnacentral:lncRNA from 1 species